ACAGGAGCUUGCUCCUGAAUUCAGCGGCGGACGGGUGAGUAAUGCCUAGGAAUCUGCCUGGUAGUGGGGACAACGUUUCGAAGGAACGCUAAUACCGCAUACGUCCUACGGGAGAAAGCAGGGGACCUUCGGGCCUUGCGCUAUCAGAUGAGCCUAGGUCGGAUUAGCUAGUUGGUGAGGUAAUGGCUCACCAAGGCGACGAUCCGUAACUGGUCUGAGAGGAUGAUCAGUCACACUGGAACUGAGACACGGUCCAGACUCCUACGGGAGGCAGCAGUGGGGAAUAUUGGACAAUGGGCGAAAGCCUGAUCCAGCCAUGCCGCGUGUGUGAAGAAGGUCUUCGGAUUGUAAAGCACUUUAAGUUGGGAGGAAGGGCAGUAAAUUAAUACUUUGCUGUUUUGACGUUACCGACAGAAUAAGCACCGGCUAACUCUGUGCCAGCAGCCGCGGUAAUACAGAGGGUGCAAGCGUUAAUCGGAAUUACUGGGCGUAAAGCGCGCGUAGGUGGUUCGUUAAGUUGGAUGUGAAAUCCCCGGGCUCAACCUGGGAACUGCAUUCAAAACUGACGAGCUAGAGUA
rnacentral:rRNA from 1 species